rnacentral:rRNA from 1 species
UACGAAGGGGGCUAGCGUUGUUCGGAAUUACUGGGCGUAAAGCGCGCGCAGGCGGCUAUCCAAGUCAGUGGUGAAAGCCCGGAGCUCAACUCCGGAACUGCCAUUGAAACUGUUUAGCUUGAGGACGAGAGAGGUGAGUGGAAUUCCCAGUGUAGAGGUGAAAUUCGUAGAUAUUGGGAAGAACACCGGUGGCGAAGGCGGCUCACUGGCGCGUAUCUGACGCUCAGGCGCGACAGCGUGGGGAUCAAACAGG